rnacentral:rRNA from 1 species
AGUGAACGCUGGCGGUAGGCCUAACACAUGCAAGUCGAACGGCAGCACAGUAAGAGCUUGCUCUUACGGGUGGCGAGUGGCGGACGGGUGAGGAAUACAUCGGAAUCUACUUUUUCGUGGGGGAUAACGUAGGGAAACUUACGCUAAUACCGCAUACGACCUACGGGUGAAAGCAGGGGAUCUUCGGACCUUGCGCGAUUGAAUGAGCCGAUGUCGGAUUAGCUAGUUGGCGGGGUAAAGGCCCACCAAGGCGACGAUCCGUAGCUGGUCUGAGAGGAUGAUCAGCCACACUGGAACUGAGACACGGUCCAGACUCCUACGGGAGGCAGCAGUGGGGAAUAUUGGACAAUGGGCGCAAGCCUGAUCCAGCCAUACCGCGUGGGUGAAGAAGGCCUUCGGGUUGUAAAGCACUUUUGUUGGGAAAGAAAAGAAGCAGGUUAAUACCCCGCUGUUCUGACGGUACCAAAAGAAUAAGCACCGGCUAACUUCG